GACAGUUUGGCCGAGUGGUCUAAGGCGCCAGAUUUAGGCUCUGGUCCGUGAGGGCGUGGGUUCAAUUCCCACAGCUGUCA
rnacentral:tRNA from 1 species